GAUGAACGCUGGCGGCGUGCCUAAUACAUGCAAGUCGAGCGAACAGACGAGGAGCUUGCUCCUCUGACGUUAGCGGCGGACGGGUGAGUAACACGUGGAUAACCUACCUAUAAGACUGGGAUAACUUCGGGAAACCGGAGCUAAUACCGGAUAAUAUAUUGAACCGCAUGGUUCAAUAGUGAAAGACGGUUUUGCUGUCACUUAUAGAUGGAUCCUCGCCGCAUUAGCUAGUUGGUAAGGUAACGGCUUACCAAGGCAACGAUGCGUAGCCGACCUGAGAGGGUGAUCGGCCACACUGGAGCUGAGACACGGUCCAGACUCCUACGGGAGGCAGCAGUAGGGAAUCUUCCGCAAUGGGCGAAAGCAUGACGGAGCAACGCCGCGUGAGUGAUGAAGGUCUUCGGAUCGUAAAACUCUGUUAUUAGGGAAGAACAAAUGUGUAAGUAACUAUGCACGUCUUGACGGUACCUAAUCAGAAAGCCACGGCUAACUACGUG
rnacentral:rRNA from 1 species